rnacentral:rRNA from 1 species
AGUGAACGCUGGCGGUAGGCCUAACACAUGCAAGUCGAACGGCAGCACAGUAAGAGCUUGCUCUUACGGGUGGCGAGUGGCGGACGGGUGAGGAAUACAUCGGAAUCUACUUUUUCGUGGGGGAUAACGUAGGGAAACUUACGCUAAUACCGCAUACGACCUACGGGUGAAAGCAGGGGAUCUUCGGACCUUGCGCGAUUGACUGAGCCGAUGUCGGAUUAGCUAGUUGGCGGGGUAAAGGCCCACCAAGGCGACGAUCCGUAGCUGGUCUGAGAGGAUGAUCAGCCACACGGGAACGGAGACACGGUGCAGACUCCUACGGGAGGCAGCAGUGGGGAAUAUUGGACAAUGGGCGCAAGCCUGAUCCAGCCAUACCGCGUGGGUGAAGAAGGCCUUCGGGUUGUAAAGCCGUUUUGUUGGGAAAGAAAAGCAGCAGGUUAAUACCCCGCUGUUCUGACGGUACCCAAAGAAUAAGCACCGGCUAACUUCGUG